rnacentral:lncRNA from 1 species
UGGGGUGACACUGAUUCACCAGAGCCAAGAGCCACGAUUGUAGUAGAUCAAGUGAAAAAUACACUCUACCCUUUAGCCCUUUAUACAUUAAUUUGUAUGAAGUUUCUUAUCAACUGCGCACUGUCCAGGUUUUUCUUCUUUCUUUCCCUGUUGUCGAGGUAAUCUCAACAUCUGCAUCAAAUUAAACAACUUUCACAUUCUUUUCUUGCGUAAAUUGUAGUUAUGAUCUCUUAACUUUAACUCAAUUGGAGUAAUGGUCUCUCAACUAAAAAUACAUUACCAUUGAUCCCUCAACUUAUCAAAACGUACAGCUAUGGUCUCUCAACUAAAAAUUCAUUACUAUUGGUCCCUCAAUUUUAAUUCAACUGAAGAAAUUGUCCCUUAACUUUAACCCAAUUGUAGCAAUUGUCAUUCCAACAUAACUCGUUUUGACAAUUUUUUUUGACGUGGUUGACGAAAAUGAUCAUAAUUACACACUUUGAUGAGUUGAGGGAUCCUAAUUAUAUAAAUGGUUAUUCCAACAUAACUUAUUUUGACAAAAUUUUGACGAAAUUGAUGAAAAUAACUAUAGCUACAUAUUUUGAUAAGUUGAGGAAACAAUGAUAAUGGAUUUUUAGUUGAAUGAUCAUUUCUUCAAUUUGAUUAAAGUUGAGAGACCAUUGCUACAAUUUACUCUCUUUUCUUUGUCUAUUUAUGUGUGUCUCUCUGGGUCAUGGAGGCAGGAAACCAUGAUGGGUUUCUCCCACAUAAAAAGCAAAACAAAUUACAGGACGAUGACAUGUCAGGGAAGGCUGGUUCUGAAUUUGAAUAUGGCCACCAAUCGAGUACCUCAUUUUGCAUGGCUUUCUUUAAUCGACUAAAUGCCUUGUCAAGUACUUUCUUCGUGCCGUUAGAAUGUAAGAAUCGAACUCAAAAUUAAUAAGUAAUGUGAUCGAGAUGAUGUAAGGCUCUAAUUCAUUUUUGCGUUCAAAACCUUGGUUGGUUAGGGUUUAUCUUUUGGGUAAAGAUUUGAACACAACCAUUUUCCUUUUAUACCUAAUUCUGUUAUUUGAUUCUCCUUUAAUUUUUUUCGAUCGAAUAAUCAUAAAUAAAUAUAAAUGUGCAGAAAGAAAACAAAAAUGUAGAAAUCUUUCUUCUUUGUUUUUAGCCUAAUUUUUAAUACCCUCCCAAUUAAAAUAACAUCUCCUUUGCAUUGGGAAUCCUGACCCCUUUUGAUUUGAAAAUCCACAAACUGAGUGAACUGAUACGAAAUUAGCCGUGCUUUGAUUUCUUUAGUGUGCAAUUCUCCCAUUUACUAAUUCAAAGCAGUUCAUGCAGCAUGUCAAAUUAAAUAUACCCUAUUUUGAUUUCUUCUUCUUAAAUCUGAUGAGACUUCUGACCUAAUCACAUUUAUUAAUCAAAAAGCAGUGCAACAGCAGACCAAUCAUAUCUGUCAAUCCAAAUCACAUGUAUCAUGUGUAGGCAGAUUCACCAUCCCACUUUAAGGCUUUUUAUACCCUAAGAGCAACUCCAC